rnacentral:rRNA from 1 species
CCUACGGGUGGCUGCAGUGGGGAAUAUUGCACAAUGGGCGCAAGCCUGAUGCAGCCAUGCCGCGUGUGUGAAGAAGGCCUUCGGGUUGUAAAGCACUUUCAGCGGGGAGGAAGGCGGUGAGGUUAAUAACCUCAUCGAUUGACGUUACCCGCAGAAGAAGCACCGGCUAACUCCGUGCCAGCAGCCGCGGUAAUACGGAGGGUGCAGCGUUAAUCGGAAUUACUGGGCGUAAAGCGCACGCAGGCGGUCUGUCAAGUCGGAUGUGAAAUCCCCGGGCUCAACCUGGGAACUGCAUUCGAAACUGGCAGGCUAGAGUCUUGUAGAGGGGGGUAGAAUUCCAGGUGUAGCGGUGAAAUGCGUAGAGAUCUGGAGGAGUACCGGUGGCGAAGGCGGCCCCCUGGACAAAGACUGACGCUCAGGUGCGAAAGCGUGGGGAGCAAACAGGAUUAGAUACCCGGGUAGUC